rnacentral:tRNA from 2 species
GCGCCUGUAGCUCAGCUGGAUAGAGCAUCGGACUUCUAAUCCGCAGGUCGGGGGUUCGAAUCCCUCCAGGCGCGCCA